AUCAGUGGGGGAAGGGGGGAUCACGUCAUAUUCCACCAGUGUCUUACUCCCACCUGGGUGAUACAAAGCAACCAUUUUGCAUGAGAACUCUCACCCAACAUCAACUGAGAUAGAAGAGAGAUUUACUUUGUUUUAGGGUGUACUGUGCUGAGUGGUGAUUAAGGCACUCCUGGUCCCUUCAGCGGUUAUUUCACUGAAAAGCUACUCAGGAUGCGGUUGGCCCAUCUGCAGUGUACUGCUAUACUGCUGUUGAUGAUUUGUCACUUCUUGGAGUGUGUGUGCGUGCACUGAUCACAAGCGGUAGGCCAAGCACACAGCUGAGUUGAACUGUGGCUCACACCGUCCCUCCAAUUCUGGAGACUGAUGCUGGUGCCAGUCGUCGUCGUGGUACCACGACAUCACCUUCUGGAAUACUGUGAGCUCCAGGGCCUCGUUCUGAGUCGUGAUGGGAAACAACCUGUGUGGGAUACUAAAGUAAGCACCACACAUCUGUCAUUUUGAAUUAGAAGAAAGAAAGAGAAUGGAAAAGUAAAGGACAGAGGGAAGGAGGGAAGAAAGAAACUCAAGAAAACGGUAGGCCAAACACACAGCUGAGUUGAACUGUGGCUCACACCAUCCCUCCAAUUCUGGAGACUGAUGCUGGUGCCAGUCGUCGUCGUGGUACCACAACAUCACCUUCUGGAAUACUGUGAGCUCCAGGGCCUCGUUCUGAGUCGUGAUGGGAAACAACCUGUGUGGGAUACUAAAAAAAAAAACAGAAGAUACAAAUGGUGAUACGGGAGCAGCCAUCGACAGGGAAAAUCAUGAUGGCAAAAAUUUGUCUGAAGAAGUCCUGUACACCACCAUUGACCACGGUAAUGAGACAACCCGGAGGAAAAUGGAGCAUGACAGCGAAGAUGGCUGUGACUAUGCCACCAUAAACAUACCUUCUGGACCUGCUCACGAGGCCACCAUCAAAGAGGACUGGAGCGAUGACUAUGUUCUUAUGAACUGAUUCAAGAGAUGUUAUUCUAUUUUUGAGAUGGCACCACCUUCUGGACUGCUAUUCCAUUUCCUUUUAACCUGUGUGCAGUAUGCCGAUGGUUUCUGUACCUGUGUUGCCCGUCGUCUAUGGGUCUAAUAACACAUUAUUAUAAACUGGUGUUUGCUGAUUCCCUGUUUUAAAUUUGGCUUAAUUUUAGUUAAACGAAUGCCAAAAACUUUAUAUAUAGUAUUUGUAAUAAAUAUAAUAUAUAUGCAAAUCUACCUCUCAGUCGGUUCUGAGUUCACAUUACAGAAUUUGUUUGUUACAGAUGAGGUGUGCUUGCGAUGGGCAAAUUUAAGGCUUUUUUCUAUACACGGAUACAGUAGAUCUUGCAAAUUAGAUUUACCUUAGGCUAGACACAAAGGUGUCAUUCAUGGAAUCCAUGUGGGAAGAGAGAGAGAGAGAGAAAGCAAGAGAGACUUAAAAUUUUACACCAGUAGGUUAACCUCAGGCAUUUUUACUUUAAAUGCCACGACAAUAUUAAUGAGCAUAGCAUAACCAUUACAAAUUAAAAAUAACCAUAAAAAAUUAAAAGUAAAAAAAAGAAAACCCUCAUUGCCAACCUGCCAAAGAACCCCCGACACACCAUGUUGUGGGAAUGUGGGAAAAUUACACACAUUCCUGGGACAUGACAUCCAUUCUUCUUUCUGCAAAUGAAUGUUCCUUUCUGAGGUCGGACAUCUUUAGCUACUAUAAAUCACGUGUCUGAAAAUAUUAAAAACAGACAAUGCUGUUGUGGUGUGGGGAUGGCUGGUUUAAGCAGCCACACCUGCCCUGGGUCAAGCUAAUUAGACCUGGCCAAUUGGAUAAUUGGUUAAGAAUUAGAUAAUUGGCCAGGCAAAUUGGACCCAGGAACAGGAGUGGCUGCACCUGUGCAUAGUGAGGUAAUCACUGCGCACAGGUUAAAUCUGCCAUCCCCACCCACACAAGGGAGCCUUCUCUGUCAUGACAGGAUUUUAAAUCUGCUCAUUUGGCUGUACCAUCUUGCCAAACCCUCCUGAAUAAAUGUGGACUAUUUGAACAUCUUCUCCCUGUGUCUCUGUGCUGGAGGGCCCCUUGGAAAGCCACUUCGGUGACCUGUGGCAGGCGUGUUUGCCACAGCUGUAUUCAUAUUUUUGUGUAUGUACAGUAUCCAUGAGUUUCAAAUUUGUACACUAAUAGUGAGUACAACAUGCUUGUAUAGAAGUGAUUUGUUCAAAAUUAAAAACCAUUGGUAAUCACUGUAA